rnacentral:misc_RNA from 1 species
GGUGUGUGGUUCCAAAAUUAAUAUUGAAAGCGUAAUAUACCUAUUUUCUUUUCUGUUCUUUCCUACAGAAGGUUAUUAUAGCAUAAAGACAGGCAUUUUCUUUACUCAAGCAAACAAAAGAAUUUGUUCUGAAUGUAGUGUCUACUUAUGCUAGUUGCUACUUAUAUAAGUAGAGUAUGCGGUGGAAUAUAAAACAUUCUUCAAGUUUGAUCAUGCAAGCCUCGCAACUCACAACUGGCACUGAAAAGUUCAUCAGCACAUAUGAUCAUGAUCAUAAAUCUAUUUAAAUUUCUCUUGGUUUUGUUUCUUGAUUUAUUCUCAUAUGUAAUGAAAG